CGGAGGGUGCGAGCGUUGUUCGGAAUUACUGGGCGUAAAGCGCGCGCAGGCGGCCCUUUAAGUCCGUCGGUCAAAUGCCGGGGCUCAACCCCGAGCGUGCCGAGGAUACUGGAGGGCUGGAGACACGUAGAGGCAAGCGGAAUUCCGGGUGUAGCGGUGGAAUGCGUAGAGAUCCGGAAGAACACCGGAGGCGAAGGCGGCUUGCUGGGCGUGAUCUGACGCUGAGGCGCGAAAGCGUGGGGAGCGAACAGGAUUAGAUACCCUGGUAGUCCACGCCGUAAACGAUGGGCACUAGACGCCGGCGGGAUCGACCCCGUCGGUGUCGCAGCUAACGCGAUAAGUGCCCCGCCUGGGGAGUACGGCCGCAAGGCUG
rnacentral:rRNA from 1 species